ACUAAUUAAUCUACAAUUAAUACAAUCAUCCUAGAUCUUUAAAUCGCAUUUUUGGGGGGAAACCCAACUUUUUGGUUACGGUU